GAGCCGAAGAAGGACGGGACUAACACCGAUAUGCUUUGGGGAGCUGUACGUAAGCGUUGAUCCAGAGAUUUCCGAAUGGGGGAACCCACUAUCUUUAGUCGGAUAGUAUCCUUACGUGAAUACAUAGCGUGAGGAAGGCAGACCCAGGGAACUGAAACAUCUAAGUACCUGGAGGAAGAGAAAGAAAAAUCGAUUUCCUGAGUAGCGGCGAGCGAAACGGAAAGAGCCCAAACCAAGAAGCUUGCUUCUUGGGGUUGUAGGACACUCUAUACGGAGUUACAAAAGAAAGUUAUAAAUGAAGCGGUCUGGAAAGGCCCGCCAAAGACGGUAACAGCCCGGUAGUUGAAAUGGCUUUCCCUCCAGAGUGGAUCCUGAGUACGGCGGAACACGUGAAAUUCCGUCGGAAUCCGGGAGGACCAUCUCCCAAGGCUAAAUACUCCCUAGUGACCGAUAGUGAACCAGUACCGUGAGGGAAAGGUGAAAAGCACCCCGGAAGGGGAGUGAAACAGUUCCUGAAACCGUGUGCCUACAAGUAGUUAGAGCCCGUUAAUGGGUGAUAGCGUGCCUUUUGUAGAAUGAACCGGCGAGUUACGAUUUGUUGCAAGGUUAAGCGGAAAAAGCGGAGCCGUAGCGAAAGCGAGUCUGAAUAGGGCGCAUAAGUAACAGGUCGUAGACCCGAAACCAGGUGAUCUACCCAUGUCCAGGAUGAAGGUAAGGUAAUACUUACUGGAGGUCCGAACCCACGCACGUUGAAAAGUGCGGGGAUGAGGUGUGGGUAGCGGAGAAAUUCCAAUCGAACUUGGAGAUAGCUGGUUCUCUCCGAAAUAGCUUUAGGGCUAGCCUCGAGGUAAAGAGUCA
rnacentral:rRNA from 1 species